UACGGAGGGGGUUAGCGUUGUUCGGAAUUACUGGGCGUAAAGCGCACGUAGGCGGGCUGUUAAGUCGAGGGUGAAAUCCCGGGGCUCAACCCCGGAACUGCCUUCGAUACUGGCGGUCUUGAGUUCGAGAGAGGUGAGUGGAAUUCCGAGUGUAGAGGUGAAAUUCGUAGAUAUUAGGAAGAACACCAGUGGCGAAGGCGGCUCACUGGCUCGGUACUGACGCUGAGGUGCGAAAGCGUGGGGAGCAAACAGG
rnacentral:rRNA from 1 species